AGGAUCCUGCUGUCGAAACAGCAGAGGAAGCUAAGGAACCAGCAGAAGCAGACAUCAAUGAGCUCUGUAAAGAUAUGUUCAGCAAAAUGGCCACUUACUUAACAGGUGAACUGACAGCCACCAGUGAAGACUACAAGCUCUUGGAAAACAUGAACAAGUUGACGAGCUUGAAGUACCUAGAAAUGAAAGAUAUUGCUAUAAACAUCAGUAGAAAUCUGAAGGAUUUAAAUCAAAAAUAUGCUGCUCUUCAGCCAUAUCUGGAACAAAUCAACCUAAUUGAGGAGCAGGUUGCAGCUCUGGAACAGGCAGCUUAUAAAUUGGAUGCAUAUUCCAAAAAACUUGAAGCCAAGUACAAAAAACUGGAGAAACGAUGAAACUGCAACUGUCUUUUCAAGUUGGAGUUGGGCUGUGGGUCAAACUGAUCUCUGAGUUGCACAACAUCGGUUUUAUAUGUUGACAAGGAUUUGGUAACAGCUAACAUAAGACUGCAAUCAGACGGUGUGGCAGAGAGUCCUGUUUCCGCAGCAUUUCAUGCACCUGUGAUUGUACAAGAGGUAACCUGCCAAUCAAAUACUGGAUACAGAAUGGAACGUGACACAGACAGGCUCCAUACUGUAAUGGCAGCGUGCUGGCAGUUAUGUGCAAGUCAGCUCCGUUAUCAGAUGUGUACCAUGUUAUCAGACCUUGUGGAGGCAAACCAAGUUGGGUACAGAACUGAAUACAGAUUUGCAAGAUGGCCACAAGAGGGUGAUGUUUCAGCAGAGAAAACUUCCGUAAGAUAAAGCAGUUAAGAGAAAGAACCAGUAUUCUGUUAAAACUAUUGCUUUUCUACUUGAAGAAAAAGCUGUGCUGUUUUAAAAUUACAAAGGUGGAAAACUCCAGGAACUCUGAAGAUGGGAAACCAUCUAGCUAUAUGUUGCACUUAGUGUUUUCAAGUAGAAGAGUUAAGACAUAGUAAACUGUUCCACAAUCUCCUGAGUAUUGCACCUGCAGGAGGCAGAGACUGGAGAUGCCUCACAAGUAACUCUUAAUUGGGAGAAAAUUUUAGAGAAUGAGCACCUGAGUGAUUAUGUGAUGAUGGCAUCCCAAUUACACCAGGAGCUGGCAACUGUGUUCUCAGUUUUGUCUUUAAGUAACCAUUCUCCUCUCUGUCUGCGGGCUCUCUGUGUGAGUGGUGGAGUCCAAGUCAUGGCAGGUUUGGCAGGUCUUUGAAAAGCAGCACCACAGAAGAGACAUGGUGAAAUUCCUUUGAACAGCAUAUUGCUAGCAAAAUGUGUAGUCUAAAAGGUUGCUGCUCAAACAUUUUGCCUGGAAAGUCCAUGAGACAUCCCAGAGGAAGCACAGGGAGAUGGUAAACCUUACUCUCUUCUCUUCUGUGGCAUUUCCUGGUGCAAAAGAUAAUAAGAAAAUAGUAGGUGCUUGAAGGAAGAACAUGGAAGAUCACAGAGGAAAGAGGGUUGACAGGUGAGAAUCAAGGGACAAAGUAUUUCAUUAAGGUGAUCUGUGCAACUGCUUUGAAGCUGAAAGCAGAUCUUGACAAGUUGAACUGCAACUGCAAACCGGGGAUAAAACUUAGCCUAGUAAAUACAGCAAACAUGGCAGAAGUUAUCCAGUAUUGGCCUAUAGCUAAAUAUAUUAUGUGUGCAGUGUUGUACCUGGUGGCAAACAUGCAAGAAAAAAACGUAAUAAGUAGAGAACAAACAUUCGAUGAACGUAUGAUGAGUUUUGUUAAUGGGAGAUUUGUUAAUGAUUAAUGUUUGUCCCUGCUUUCUGGUAUUAGGGUAGAAUAAAAUGGAACCUUGACAGAGGUCACACACACAGAAAAAAAAAUAAAUAAAGCAGUUCAUCCAAGUU